UACGUAGGGCGCAAGCGUUGUCCGGAAUUAUUGGGCGUAAAGAGCUCGUAGGCGGUCUGUCGCGUCCGUUGUGAAAACUCGAGGCUCAACCUCGGGCUUGCAGUGGAUACGGGCAGACUAGAGUGCGGUAGGGGGAGACUGGAAUUCCUGGUGUAGCGGUGGAAUGCGCAGAUAGUCAGGAGGAACACCGAUGGCGAAGGCAGGUCUCUGGCCGCAACUGACGCUGAGGAGCGAAAGCAUGGGGAGCGAACAGG
rnacentral:rRNA from 1 species